AGUAGUUGUUUGAAAGAACUAGCGGAGGAAGCUUGGCGACGAAUAAGAGGCAGAUUUUUCUAGACAGAUGGGCCUGCGUGGGAAAAGCUGUGGUCACCCCAAGAGUCGUGCGAUCGGGAAACCUGAAUAAGCACAGAGUGUGGUAACCGUAUAGUCUGCGAGAUAGUUGAUAUACUACAAAACUAAUGAGUUGAAUCAAACACUAACUUGCAUGAGUUCGGUGAGUGACUACACUUUGAACAAGUUGGAUCCAGUGUUUUAAUGUUAAACGUUAUGAAGGUACUUCAUUGAAAAUCGUUAAUCUCAAAAAAGUAACUACCACCGAUAACCUUUGUAUGUAAGGUGGCCCAUGGAGUACACUUUGUUGAUCAAGCUAAUGCUACUGACGACACGACACCACACAAGCAAACUCACGUAAGGGAAGUUUUAUGCGGACUGUCCGCUUUGCCUCAAAGGUCGCGUAGUGCAUUCAUAAAACGUUUGUUAACUUAGUGUCAAACAUUCAGAACAGAAACUCUGAGUUUGAGUUAUAUCUGCUUGCCGGUAUCAAGGACUGUUGAUUAUCAAGUCGUUUAUAGAAUUGAAGGUUGUUUAAAAAUGAAGCCCGGCUGCUUUAAAAGCGUUUUGCACUUUUCAAUUGAUACGUUACAAGAUGGUGGUCUCCAUGGUUGGAUUGCUGUGUUGGGUUUGUUUACAACCAAAGUAGUUUGGAAUAUUUUGGUAAAAGGCCUGGGUAUGAUGUUACCUGCCCUACAAGAACAGUUCGACACUUCAACUUGGUUAAUUGGCUGGAUGGUUGCUUUUGUCAACGCAGGAGGAUGUUUCACAGGUAUCCUAGCAACGCCACUAAAGGAGAGAUUUGGCGCCAAGACUGUGGUGACAGUGAGUGGAUUAGUUGCUGGUGUCUCCAUGAUAACUGCGUCAUUCCUGUCCAGUUUAUACACAAUCACCUUCAUCCUUACCGUAUUUGCAGGAUCAGCUGUUGGCAUAUCAUUCGUGAUAACGAAGCAUCUGAUUGGAAGCUGUUUUAAUAAAUCUGUCACAACAGCCUAUGGCGUGGCGGGCCUAGGCAGCUCUGCUACCUUCCUUGCUGUUGUUCCCUUGAUACAGCUUUUCCUGGACAUCUACGGCUGGAGGGGAACAAUGCUUCUACUUGGAGCAUUAUCAUUACAUCUCGCUCUCGUUGGAGCUCUGAUGAAACCACCUGCAGAUAGUGGGAGUCAAGAUGGUUAUGAGGCAGCUCUCACAGACGAGGAGCAAUUAGAGACAGAGGCAGACAAAGUGGCACCAAGCAACCGCUUUGGCUGUUCUUGUUUUGCCAAAGUCUUUUCAUUAACUAGAGAUACAUUCCAGCUUGAAGUGUUCUCAUCCAUAUCCUUCUUGCUGGUUUUAUUUGUGUUCAUCGUGAUGGAACUAACGUAUUGUUCGUGGUUAAUUUACUAUGUGCAGUACACUACUGUGUCGAAAGGAUUCACACUGGUAGACGCCUCACAUUUUGUUGUCGCAUAUGGAAUAGGGAGAACAAUAGCUUCCAUUGUGAUUGGUCCAUUGUUUCAAGCUGUGCAUGUUGUCAGCGCAUACGUAUGGCUUACUGGAUCUUUACUUAUAGUCGCCAUUUAUUAUGCUGUCGAUCCAUGGUUGACGUCAUAUUGGCCGAUUGUUGCGAGUACUUUCUUUUAUGGAAACGCUCUCUCAAUAGCUUUUAUACUCAUAGAUGUUGUCACUAAGAAGAUAUUCGGUAAAGAACGGUUGGGGCAUGCUGUGGGGUUAAUGGGACUUUCGUCAAGUGUGACGUCACUCCUUCUAUUAUAUUUUCCAGGAUUGAUUUACGACUUAACCGGAGACUACACCGUGGCUUUCAGUCUAAUGGCUGGUGUACAGUCACUGGCUGUUGCUGCUGCACUUGGUUUGCGCUGGAGGCAGAAACACCAUCCCAGUUCAUCUGAGGCAUCCCAUCUAGGAACUACAUAGUUUUUACACAUAUAUCGUAACCGAAGGGCUUCAAAACAAUGUGAGACUUUUGGAACGCUUGGUGGCAGCAGACUUACCAGAUGUGCAUUACAAUAUUAACUAAAGUUGUUACGCCAAGCACAUUAACAAGGUAUUUUUUGUUUUAAAUAUGUAAAAGUAUCGAAUGGUCUUCAUUUCAACAUUAAAGCCAUUACAAACGCCUUUCACAAGCAUUUUACAGGCACUUCCGGUUUAGAGAGGUACCAAGGUCAAGAAAGGGUC